UCAAUCCGAUUCCAUAUCAAAAUCUGUAGGACCGACUCGAUCUCCGAUCUCAAGUUUAAAAUCCUUGGACUGGUUGGGUCACUCAUUAGGUGCUAUACCUUAUGAGAGCAUAGACGGCCUCCAGUUCUUCAGGAUCUCAAUAACUACUAGAGUCUUCUAUCAGAAGGAUUCUCAUUCUCAUUAUCAUCAUCAUCAUCUCCUUGUAACAAACCAUUAAAGCGGCUUCUUCCCACCCAGAAGAUGGGCUGAAAUGCUAGGAAGUCUAACAACAGGGAAGUUGUUCCCAGGAUGUACCCUCAUCUGUACAUCAUUAUAAUAAGUUGCAACCUGAAUGUUCGUCAAGGGAAGUAUGCUGAAAUUUCUGCCAA